rnacentral:rRNA from 1 species
AUACGAAAGGUGCAAGCGUUGUUCGGAUUUACUGGGCGUAAAGAGAGUGUAGGUUGGUUAUUAAGUCGGAUGUGAAAUCCCGGGGCUCAACCUCGGAACUGCAUUCGAUACUGGUAGACUAGAGUUCGGGAGGGGUAAGCGGAAUUCCGUGUGUAGCAGUGAAAUGCGUAGAUAUACGGAGGAACACCUGAGGCGAAGGCGGCUUACUGGACCGAUACUGACACUGAGACUCGAAAGCGUGGGUAGCAAACAGGAUUAGAAACCCUAGUAGUCC